rnacentral:rRNA from 1 species
GAUGAACGCUGGCGGCGUGCCUAAUACAUGCAAGUCGAGCGAACGGACGAGAAGCUUGCUUUUCUGAUGUUAGCGGCGGACGGGUGAGUAACACGUGGAUAACCUACCUAUAAGACUGGGAUAACUUCGGGAAACCGGAGCUAAUACCGGAUAUUAUUUUGAACCGCAUGGUUCAAAAGUGAAAGACGGUCUUGCUGUCACUUAUAGAUGGAUCCGCGCUGCAUUAGCUAGUUGGUAAGGUAACGGAUUACCAAGGCAACGAUGCAUAGCCGACCUGAGAGGGUCAAUGGCCAGACGGUAUCUGAGACUGAGUCCAGACACCGACGGGGGGCAGCGGUAGGGAAUCUUCCGCGAGGGGCGAGAGCCGGACGGAGCAACGCCGCGGAAGGGAUGAUGGACUUCGGAUCGUAGAACGCUGUUGGUAUGGAAGUUGAUAUGUGUAAGUAUCUGUGCACAUCAUGACGGUACCUAAUCAGAAAGCCACGGCUAACUACGUG